rnacentral:rRNA from 1 species
CUGCUGCCUCCCGUAGGAGUCUGGUCCGUGUCUCAGUACCAGUGUGGGGGACCUUCCUCUCAGAACCCCUACGCAUCGUCGCCUUGGUGGGCCGUUACCCCGCCAACUAGCUAAUGCGACGCAUGACCAUCCGUAGCCGGAAUCGCUUCCUUUAAACCCGAGGAGAUGCCUCCUCGGGUUGUUACGCGGUAUUAGACAGAAUUUCUUCCGCUUAUCCCCCUGCUACGGGCAGGUUUCAUACGUGUUACUCACCCGUGCGCCGGUCGCCGGCGGG